AUUCUGUAUUUCAGUAUUCGCAUGUUCUAUAUGGUCUAUAAUUAAAGGAAAGAAACUGCAUUUCCAGCAGUAGUAACUUCUUUAAAAGUAGGCAUUUGUUUUAAGACUCCUCAGAUAGGGUUAGAAUAAUUGAGCAUCAUAAAGAGGAGUAAAUUUUUCACGUAAAUCUUUCAGUUAAAUUUCUUUUAAAAAUUUUUACCUGUAUUUGUUUUGAAAUGGAACCUUGAAAAUUUAUGUUUUAAAAGUCUCAAUGGAGUAAUAGCCUCUGUAGUGCAGCAUCUAAGUAUGUACUCAAAUAUGAAAAAUUAUUCUAAUAAAGGGAAAUGCUAUUGAGCAGCUGCAUCUAAGAGAUUACAUUGUUUAUAUACCCUUCUAUCACAGCCACAAAUUAAGAAAUAAAAGUAUGUCAUUACUGUCAAGAAUUUGAAAAGUAAAACAUUUCCCACCUUUAAAAGUUAAGAAAACAGUUCUUACAGGUGGUUGACUGUGAGUUUUCUUUCGUGUGAUCUGCUUGUCGUAUGAGAUGUAUUUUGAAGAAAUGGUGGCAGAACUUAUACCACCGUGACUUACAGAGCAUUUUGAGUAGAACUAGGUUGUUGCUAAGGCUUUUCCUUUUUAGGUACACACAAGAAGCUCAAACCCACUGCUGUCAUGUGUGAAAGGUGUUUCAUUAAACAUAAAAAGACCAGAAUUAACUAUGCUUUUCAGCCAGGCAGUGCAGGGAUUUACAUGUGUCAUUAAGAUAGUCUUCUUUUGAAGGGCUGCCGAAACAGGGAAAGACCUGGGUGUCAUAGAGCUGCAGUGCUGAUGACUCAUUGCUGCAGAUAACUCAGUUUUUCUUUCCUCUUCUUUCUUUCUUUUUUUUUCAAGUACUUGGAAUAAAAGUAUUCUACAUAUCAGAGAGGAUUCUUUUGAAAUAAACAUUCAGAAGCUCUAAGAGAAUACCCACUGUAUUGUAGCCAACCUGCGCUGGACUUUCUGUAGGACUAAGGAUUGACAUUCAUUUAUUUGAAUACCUGUGUAGGAUCUAAGGAUCUAUAAAUAAGUACUGUUGUAAAAUAGACUGUCACACCCUCAUCCCUGCCCAUUCCCAAAUAACCAGGCAGAUGACUUUUUUGUAUGUUUAGUUAUUAGCAUCUUGGCCCUUAAUAUUUUAAGCUCUUUCUUCAGUAUUUAGUAAAAAGGUGUAAUGAGAUUGGAAGAACAGUAGAGAAGAAUGAUAGUUACUCACUUAUGAAGGGUGCUUUUUCUUGUCUCUUCUUGCUUUUGAAAGUGAUUUUCCCUGUUUCCUCAAAAUGACUUUGUAUUUUUUUUAAGUUUAAUAAUUCAUCUUUAAGCACUCCUUAGUACAUACUUAAUACAUAGUCUGAAAAUGAUAAGAGUAUCAUUAUUUUCUCAAAUUGUUGUCUGUUGUAAUUCUGUAUUAUUCUGUUAUUUUUUCAUUUCCUUAUUUUACAGUAAAAACAUUUAAAUUAUUUAAUAAUAAUAUUAGGUAACUGUGUUGGGAUGAAUAUUCUCAGAGUUCCUAGAGGAAUUGAUUAUAAAAGAAUGAGGAGGAACUUGAUUUAAAAAAAUUUUUUAAUCAUUUCUGUAGUCUUAAAGUUGUCAAAAUAACUCUAUGGAAAAAAGAACAUAUGUUAUUUAGUAAACUGCAGCUUGUUAUUUUGCUUUAUCUGCAUUCAGCUUUGCCUCAUGCAGCAGACAUUUGCUGCUUGCCUUCCUAGCCUACUAUUCCUCAUUGUUUCUUCUCUGAAACCAUGUGGUUCUGGGGAACUGUCUACCCAGAAUCCAGAGGUAGAGCUUAUGGGCUAGGAUUAGUGAAUCAUUGCCUUCCACAUUCUCUUCCACAGUGAUUGGUUCAGAAGGUGUUUGACCUAGACCAGUCCAAUCAAAUCUUAGGACUUUUCCUGGGAAUACAUUUUUUUGUUGCAUGUGAGCAAAAGGCAUGUAGUCCUGGGGUCUGCUAAGUUCAUGAGAGGAGCCAUGUCUGGAAUAAAACUAAUGCUAUAGAAGGCCGUGUAGAGAGACUGAAAGAAUAGAGGUUCUUGGUGACCUUGCUGCUUAGGGAGUUUGCCGUUAUGUUAGCCUUUCUUAUUCGACCAGACUGAGUUGGGUUUUCUGUUGUAACUGAAACUGCCUCACUGGGUAAGUGAUUCACUUGUUGUCUCUGAUCAGCUCAGAACUGGUUGUUGAAUGUUUCUUCUACCUUUACUAUCACCAUCUAUUGACCCCAUGCGAUGAGUAUUUAUUGACUUGAUCCAGCUGACAUAUAGGUCAUAUACCUCAUAAGCCCUCAUGAGAAAUGUUUGUUAUACUCCUAUUGAGUCAGGAAGAGAUGGAUACAGAAACCCUGGAAGACUUUCCCUCCUGAAUUUGGUGUUCUUAUGAGGAAGAUCUGGAACUGUGAUAGUGCCAGCUUGACUUUCAGAUUAAACCUCAUUACACAAAAGGAGAAAAUGACCCCCAGCCUUCUGGGCAUCAGCAGUAGGUUAUCUGUUAAACUUAUUGUAGAGAGUGGAUCCCGGCUCUUCCCGAAGCAGCCAGGUGUUUGCUGGAAAGUGCCCAGAGAAGAGCCCCACCCGACCCCAGCACUUGUGCACCCGGAAGCCCGAUGGAUUCCCGGACCACCUCUGUGUGAUCAGCAGCCACAUUCCUUUCUACCCUCUCUAGUCCUCGGACCCGUCCGCCACUAACCUCCCCUCUUCUGACUCUGUCUGUGCACUAGAGCAAAUAUGGCAAAGGGGAUUUGAUUGAAAGAAGCUGCCUGGAAAAAUACUAAGAAUUGUGAGGCUAUGAGUGUGAAAGACACAAGUGGUGGCUCUGGUGGCUGGUCCUGCACCCAUGCAUUUCUGUCGCUGGAAAAAUUGACCAUGGGUGAAGGGUGAUUGCAUUAAGUCAUUGUCUUAAAUGAACUUGACUCAGGGCUUUUAGUGUUUCUUCUUCCUCAGUUCUUAGUUUUUUUCUCUCUUUAUGAAAAAAUAGGAGCGUCGUGAUCUUGCUGUUGAAGGUGGAAAGCGAGAGAUAUCCUAAUUCUGGACUAGUAUUUACUUUUUAUUUAGAAAGAGUUAGGCAAUGCAUAUAAAAUCCCCAAAUUUGGAAAAAGAGCAACAAAAGAUAUUAAAAUGCUGUAUACUUCUCCAAACUAAUGAAGUAAUAUUAUCUAUUUUACUAAUGGAGAAGCAAAUAGCUAAGAAAAUUCAGUGAUUAUCAGAAAGAACAGUCACCAGCCCUUGUCUUGUUUACUUAGCUACCUCACAUUAAAUUGUUUUUCCCACUAUUUUCAAAGUUCAGGAUAGUGUCAUUUAAGAUGCUACUUGUCAAAUUCUUAAGUUGUAUUCAUUUGUAUAAUUCACCACUUGAUUCAUCAGCAAGGCUCAACUAUACAAAUAGAUAGAACAUAAAAAUGUGAAAUGGAUCCUGUAAGCAGCAAAUUAAAGUCUCAUGUAGUUCAUUGCUAAUUAUUUAAGUUUAAAUUAUGAUGCUUCCUUUUUAUUUUUACUAAAAUGUAUUUAAUGUCCACUUAGGGAAGAUAUGCUUAAACUAUUAACAACAUUUGCCUCUGUGAGAAUUAUCUAAAUAUGUCACAUAUCUGGGUUUAAAGCUACAAAUAUAUAUUUACCAUUUUUCCUUCCUUUAUUAAAAAUGAGAAACAGAAAGGAGACUUUUAUUUUCAACUACUUUUUGAUAUUUUUGAAUUAACACGAUACCUAAAGGGGCUACUAGAAAAAGUAACGCAGUUAAGAGACUCCCUUAUGAUCACCUAUUUUCUCAGUAAGACUUAGAGUUCUUUUUAUUUUGUUUUUUCUAGUAAAUUUUUUAAAGGAGAAAACAUUUUUGAGUGCUCAUAAUGUAACACUACUGUAUUAGGCACUUUACAAGCAUUGUCUCAUUAACUCAUGAAAACUUUGUGUUUGAGGUACUAUUAUUUCCAUUUUUUUACAUAAAAAAUUGAAAUUCAGGAAGAUUAAAUAAGCUGCCCAUAGUCAAAUAGCCAGUAACUUGAAGAACAGAGAUUUUAAAUACAGAUUUAUUUGAACCAGAGACGCAUGCUUAUUUCACAAUUCUGUGCUGCCAGUCUAUUAAUGACCUAUGUGUUUCCCAGAGAAUGUUACUAUCAUACAUUUUUUGUGCGAGCCUGUGUACACACACACACACACAUUUUUAUUACACGUAUGUUGUAAAAUAAAAGCUAACUUUUGUUAAACAAACAAAAUGUAGAUUACUGGCUCCAUCCUAAAUCACUGAAUAACUUUUUUUUUCAUAUUUUCUCAUGUCUAUCCAGAAAGACAUGCUGCUAAUCUGAAUUCUGAUAAAAUAUUCCUGAUCACCUGGCUGUUAAAAGACAUGUUGCAAUCAACCUAGUUUAGUUUAUUUUAACACGUUUAUGAAUUAUUCCUGUCUAAAUCUAAGCCAGAGAUUAGAAAAUUAUUUCUUAAAGUGUCAGAUUAAAAACUGUUUGCAGCUUGCCAGCCGUAAGGUCCCAGUUGUAACUGCUACAGUUAGAAAGCAGCCCUAGACAAUAUGUAAAUGAAUGACUUGGCUGAGUUCCAAAAAAAACCCACUUUACUUACUAAACAGGCAGCCACCCACAGGCUGUAGUUCCCUGAUCGAAACCACUGCAUAUACCAUGUGGGCUAAUAAAUGGAUUUAACCUUUCACAUCUCA